rnacentral:rRNA from 1 species
CCCUUAGAUGUUCGGGGCCGCACGCGCGCUACAAUGAGUCGAUCAACGUGCGUAUAUUUCCAAGGCCGAAAGGUCGAGGUAAUCCGUUGAACCCGACUCGUGCUAGGGAUAGGGACUUGUAAUUGUUUCCCUUGAACGAGGAAUUCCCAGUAAGCGCAAGUCAUCAGCUUGCGUUGAUUACGUCCCUGCCCUUUGUACACACCGCCCGUCGCUACUACCGAUUGGAUGGUUUAGUGAGACCCUCGGAUCGGUCCCGACUCGGGGUGGGCUUCUGCCCCGGUCGUGGUUUCGCCGAGAAGACGGUCAAACUUGACUAUCUAGAGGAAGUAAAAGUCGUAACA